rnacentral:rRNA from 1 species
GACGAACGCUGGCGGCGUGCCUAAUACAUGCAAGUAGAACGCUGAAGGAGGAGCUUGCUUCUCUGGAUGAGUUGCGAACGGGUGAGUAACGCGUAGGUAACCUGCCUGGUAGCGGGGGAUAACUAUUGGAAACGAUAGCUAAUACCGCAUAAUAGCAGUUGUUGCAUGACAACUGUUUGAAAGGUGCAAUUGCACCACUACCAGAUGGACCUGCGUUGUAUUAGCUAGUUGGUGGGGUAACGGCUCACCAAGGCGACGAUACAUAGCCGACCUGAGAGGGUGAUCGGCCACACUGGGACUGAGACACGGCCCAGACUCCUACGGGAAGCAGCAGUAGGGAAUCUUCGGCAAUGGACGGAAGUCUGACCGAGCAACGCCGCGUGAGUGAAGAAGGUUUUCGGAUCGUAAAGCUCUGUUGUAAGAGAAGAACGAGUGUGAGAGUGGAAAGUUCACACUGUGACGGUAUCUUACCAGAAAGGGACGGCUAACUACGUG